UGGAAAUGUUAGAUCACAGCUGAUUCAGUAUGUUUCAUGCAUUGUUGAUCAAACAUACAUUGGAGAGAGGAGAAAGAUAUCAGUAAAAUAGUAUCGGCCUGUCUUCCUGAUUAAUUAUGAGAGAGAGUUUUUAUAAACUUAAGUGCAAGUCUGAUUGGAGCUCAGAUUUGUGCUUGAGACCACUUUGUAUGUGAAACCACUUUUUAGUGACAGCACAAUUAGCAAAACAGAACAGUAACUGUAGAAGAAUUAAUUUAUUUUAAACUGUGUAUUUUAAACUUAUUUGUGUGCCAAAAAAAAAAUCUAGUAGACCGAAAGGAGGGAGAAACUUUUCAUAGGGUGUUCAGUAAGCAGAGGCAAGACUGAGAAAACCUGCAAGUGUAAGGAAUUCUGUCAUGUAGGGAAUAAUUUUGCUGUUCUAACUGUUAGUUUAAAAUGAAUGAGCACAUCCCCACCCCCAACAAAAGAACACUGCUAGCACUUACCUGCUAGAAGAUAGUGAGCUUUGUGUGGAUGGUGAUCGAGAACUGUGACUACCCCCAACAGAAGCAGCUGUUGGCAGCUCUAGAUUGAACUAGAAAAUUAGAAGGGGAAAAAAAAAGUUGUGUAAUAGGAUACAGCACAGCAGGAGAGUUUAUAAUGCUUUGUGUUGAAACAUAUGUUGAAAGCUGAUGAACACAGUUUUGCUGUUCUACCAUAAGCAUAUUUAUUGCUGAAUUAGGCAGGUGCCCUUGAAAGACGCCUUAUCAGUAGGCCUUGCUAUGAAUCAGGAUUUUAGUGGCAGUAAACUGGAAAGCUCACCUGGUGAAAGUACUUUUGAAAGGAUGGGGUUAAAUCAGGAUUUGCAUUUAGAACAUCGGCUAACAAUUUGUUGAUGGUUUUGCUGAAGGUCUUCAGUGCACGGAGAUCAAUGUCUUUCUCUUCCUGUGUCUCAGUUUUAGUUUUCUUUAGGGACUGGAUCUCUCUGGAGAGUCUGGAACACUUAACAUAAGUAAGUUUAAAACAUGCUGUGAUGCAGAUGCAGUUUCCUCACAGAAGCCUGCUGAGUUUGAGUGCUGUGGUUUUAACACACAGCACAGCUGUUGACCACUAAAGUUAGAAGUUGUCGUUAAUCAACAUACAGACCUGUUUUAUAACCCUUUCUAGCUUUGGCUUCUGUUCUUCUAUGUCUUUGUUCAGCUGCAAUAUAACAGCUUGUUUUUCCUUAUUUUGCUCCUGGAAAAUGGCCUCCUGCUUCAGUAGUGAAUCCAAACUUUUCUCCAUGCUCUGCAAAUACAUUUGAAUAGUAGUUUUAAUUUAUGAAGCGGUUCUGAUAUCCUUUCAGUUAUAUUACUUUGUCAGAGGAUCUGUUAUUGCUACUACUUGUUUCUAAAUGUAGCUCAGGAAAAUAGCAGUACUGAUACUGCAGCUCUCAGACUGUUCAGUGGAUAAAUACUUGCAUAAAGGACUACUAAUUUCAGUAUAUUCCCAUUGACUUUAAAGGUAUGAAUACUGAAAUUACAGGCACGUGUUUCCAGAUGUGGCUGUGAGUUGUGUCUACAAAUGCUUUAUGCCGUGUAGUACUGAACACUGCAGUGCCAUACUUUCCCUUGCAAGCUAUCCCCCCAGAAAUAACAUUCUUCAUUUAUUUCCCAUGAGAAGGGAUGGGAUGCAGAUGCUAGAGUGAGUAAAAUCAGCUCUGUAAGGGUGGUUCUGUUUUCAAUAAAUAAAUAAAAAGGCAGGAAAGUAUAUGCUUUAAGAGCUCCCCAGAAUUUAUUCCACAAUGAAGACAAACCUAGCUUAAGAGGCAACAUAUCUGACACUGAAGAAGAGGGACAGCUAUGCUACAUGGAGGUAAAAUAAGCAAAAAGAACGUUGAGCUACAGGGCUUAGAACAGUCAUGUGGGAUAUAACAGCAUGCCUUAGGUUUCUUCUGCUUAAGGAUAUCUUAACUUUGAUGUGUGAUAUCUUAGUUAAGUGAUGCUAUUUCUUAAGGGCCGCCUGGAGUGCUUUCUGAUUACAAGGGGAGCCAAGAGAAGUCCCCAGUGUGAAGCCUGAACACAGGUUAUCCUUCCCCUGCUAAGAAUCACCUAUCUUUCUCUAGCUAAACUGGAAUACUGUGGAGGCAAACUGGAACACCUUUAAUGCUGACAAACAAAAAAGUGCCAGAGGCAGCAAGAUGGGUUGAUUUUUAAAACUUGCAAUACUGGACAAGUUGAUACAACGUGCUACAAAGAUGUAAGUAACUGCUAUCUUGGAUGUCAGCACAGAGCAUUUUUCACCUUGCAUGUGGAUUUUCAAAUCUGCAAGGUAUACGUGACUAAAAAGCCUGCUGUUCAGUUGCAACUCAAGGAAAUGCAGAUAAGCAAUUAAUUUUUGAAAGCCUUACAUAAAAAAAAAUAAUUGCAUAUAUUGAUACAAAGAGUAAGUUGUAAAAGAGAAUGAGGCAAAAGCUGUUCCAGAAUUUCCUCUUCUUUUGAUGAGAUGGUUUGUAUGGAUUGAGCUACGUGUUGCAGCCAUUUCUGACUGGAACUUUUGCUUGUGUUUUACCUGGAGGUAUUCCUGAAGUUCCCUGACUUGUCUUCGUUUGUAUCUGUAUUUUUCGUCAGCAACCCUUUUCUCUUCUUCUAGUUUCAGUUUUUCCUCAUACUCCUCACCUGUGAUCCCAAACAAUGAGGCAGGGUUGAUGCUGAACAACUAAUGGUACACAACACAGUUUUCAUUUCAAAAUUAGUUGUGCUUGAAUGUAAUUGCCCUGCAGAAUAUUGCUACGUUAGUGUUGAAGUAUUACAGAUACCUCGAGGUUUAAGAUAUUUUUGUAAUACUCCCUUACUUGUUCCAAGUCACUUACUGGCUUUAUGGAAGAUAAUGAUUUUAAAUCCAUUGUUUCCAGAGCCAGCAGAAGACACAUAAGUUAAAUAUCUUCUAGGAUUAAAUUUAUAUAAUAGCUCAUAGUGAUGCUUUUUAUAAGCUAAAUAAAGGAAUUUCCACUGGAAAAAAAAAAACAACCAAGUUUAUGACAGAAACAACAGGUGAAGAUAAGUUCUAGAAUGUUGAGAUUUCUGAUAUCCAAAAAAGUUUAUAGUUUAUUAUUUUAAGCUGCUGACGCUACCUUAAAAUAGUGCAGUUUCUCUUGCUUUUCCUAAUCAUUUUCCUAGAUGAGAGGUCACUACUUUCUCCUCUCCCAUUCCAUGUGAAAAUCAGAUAUGCUAGCUUAGCUAAAGGACCUACAUUCACUAGAGUGCACGUACCUUAGCUGGCUGUAACUGAGAUAGAGUUGCAGUCUAGUUGCUGUGGGUAUUUUGUGACCCAGCUAGUUCAGGUGACACCAGAAGAUUAUCAGUGACAUUGUUUUGUUUCUGCAAUUUGAGCUGGUUGCAGUGUGAGAUGCAGCAGUGCAGGGAGAGUAGUGCUUUUUGUACUGUGCAACUCUACAUACUUCACUAGUCAUUCCUUUCUCCCGGUAAUGACUUUCCCAGUAAUUAUCUUUAUGCUCUGCUUCCUCUGAAUGUUUCUUCACAGUAUUUAUGUAGGCUUAGAGGAUGUUCACAUAAAUCAGAUGGAAGAAUGUGAACAUUUUCUGUGGUUACUCUGCUCAGCCUUGCUGAACUAAUAAUAGUAGUGUGUGAAUUUCACUCCCUUUUGCUACUACAAGUUUAGUCUCUGGCUGUGAUUCAUUCUUUUGUGCCACUGAAUUUCCCCACUGUAUAGCAGUUAUACCAUCAUCUAUAACUCAUACAGCAAACAGUAAUUUACAUUUUACAUACUUGUCUCAGUGACUUCCUUGAAAGAGUUUCGGUAAUUGCUGUUGCAGUUAUUAAGUAUUUGCAGAGUGUUUUCAAGAGCUACAAUUUCAUUUUCAGCUUUGCUGAUCUUUGCAUCUAAAUCAUCACCUUCACGCUGAAGUGCUUCCUUUUCCUGUGCAGCCUGAAAAUAAAACUGGUAUUUUAUGUGACUGAAUGCAUAUUAAAAACAUUAGGACAAUUAUACAGAGAAGAAUACGUUCAAUAUUAAAAUCCUAGGUAAAUUCUGAGGUUAUCUAUGUCAGGAUUGGACUGAGAUCUGAGUUACUGGAAGCAGUAGGUAUUUUACAGUACUAGAAGCUGGAUGCAUGUAAGUCAGUAGGUCCCAAUGGGAUUAAUUCCAGGUUCUGAAAGAAGGGUUGAUGUUUCUGUGAGAACCCUUACAAUUAUUUUUUCAACAGUCUUGGGAACUGGGAGAGGUCCCAGCUGAUGGGAAGCUGGGAAGAGUCUUAAUUUUUCAAGAAAAGAAAGAAGAUUCUUGUAACUACAGGCCUCACAGUCUCACUUUGCUGCCUGAUAAAAUUAUGGAGACUACUCUGGGAGUUACUGAAAAACAUAUCAAAAACAGUGUAGUCAUUGGUUAUAGCCAACAUAGGUUCACAAAGGAAAAGUCCUGCUUAACCAACUUACUUUCCUUUUGUGAUUUUUUUCCUUUGAUAAGGAUACUUUCCUUUUGUGACCAGGUCACCUAUCUAGUUCACCGAGAGGCCAGGAGAUAAAAUCAUCUUGAAUUUCAGCUAAGAAAUCAAGAAAUGCAUAGAUGUUGUACUGAGGGACAUGGUUUAGUGGGAAAUAUUGGUGAUAGGUGGGUGGUUGGAGUGGAUGAUCUUGGAAGUCUCUUCUAGCCUUGGCGAUUCUGUGAUUCUAAGUUGAACACAAACACAAUAAUAUACCUUUAUUACAUAGUAGGUCUGAGUUUUCUCCUCUUCUCCUUCAGGUGGCAUCAUGAUAACAGUAAGAAUUUCGUAUCUGCAUCUCAGUUUAUCGAUUUUAUUUAGGCGAUCUUGAAAUUCAGCACUGAAGUAUUAUGGGGAAAAAAUGAAUGAGAUGACCAAAUGUUUGUCUAACAGUGCUCUAUGUGCAGUUCUUGCUGCAGCAGUUUAAAUUAUUGUUAGUCCUGCAGCCUGCCCCUCUACUAGGGUGCAGGCAAGGCAGCAGUUGUGCUGUUCCUGUUUUUUUGAUGCUUUCUGUCUUCUCCCAGCCACAGUCACCUGUUUUUCUGGUUAUUUACUGUUAUCUCUCAGUUCUAAAAUGAGUCAAAUUUAUUUUCACAUUUCAGAUCAUAGCGUUAUGAAAGGCUGUGCCACAGUCCUCCCUGGAAACAUUUAAAAGUUUGGCAUUUAAAUCCUGCAGCUGCACAAGCUGCCCCCUGCUGAUACUAUCUUAAUAUUGCCACUCCAAGAUGAGAGUAAGCAACAGUAAGCAAUAACCCCAAAUCAAAUUACAGGGAAGUAUCAAUUAGCUGUGUAAUUAUCAAAGGAAAAAAAAAAACAAAACCACCCAUUCUGCACUCCUGGUGAGCAGUUAAGCUUUAGUCACACUAAAUCAUUCUGAUUUCCUAUUGUGUGGGGUGCAGUUAGCAGAGGAGUGAAUAAAAAUCCUGCCAGAUUUCAGCAGUUCAGCUGCUAAAGCAUUGAUUUUUUACUAGAUACAGAUAGUGGUAUUUAAGAGUUAAAGCCUGUUCCAAAUAUUUCAUAAUGAUUAUUGCAGAAGAGAAAAGUUUUUCUAUGUGGUUGCUUUAUCAGAAGGUAUCUUCUGUAUUAUAAUACAUUGGCAGGAAUUAAGAUCCACAUAGCUGAGCAGAUUUUUUUUGCUAUACUGAACAGAUAACUAAGUGCUGUUUUUUUAAUAUAAAAAUAAGAGAACACCCAUGCUAGAUGAGCCAAAUAAAUUAGUUUUAUCAAGACCUCUUCAACAACAACUUUCAUGUUUUAAACACUUGGAGUACUUUCUCAUGCUCCAAACACCGACUGCACGUUUCCUGAUUAUUUUGAACAAUGCAGGGUUGGACACACAACUUGUGCUUCAAACAAAAUGCCUGCAACUGGCAUUUCUUCUCGGUACUGUAGAGGAUCUUCAGCAACAUAGUAAGUAGCAGUCUCUCGUUGACCAGUGAUAAUGGACAGCAAAGCCAGAGAUGCUGUCUAGUGGUUAAUGCUUGCACGCCAGUUUUCAGAGAAAAGAUUGCUUGUUAGCCUUAACUGUCUCAGUAUGUGACUGACAGCAAGACUUACUUCACUCAAUUCCUCCAACUGGCAAAAUUGGUUAAAAUGCCUCUCUUUUUAAGCAAGCUCACAUGUAAAAGGUACUUGAUAAAAUCAUUUUAAUUACUUUGUUUUUUUCUCAUUUACUUCGAAGAUGAAGGAACUAAAGGAUGAUUGGUUAGGAUUUUCAGGGAAACGUAGUGUUCUAAAUUGUAAUGUUGUUUUUGAGUUGCUGCACCAGAGAUUUUGAAAAUAAUCAUUACCUUAUGCGUUGCCGUUCCUGAUCCACGAGUCUGAUCUGGGAAUCCAGCAUUGCCUUAUGGAUCUUAAUUUCCUCAGUUCUUUCUGCUAUGGCUUUCUUUAACUCCAGCUUUUGUUUUUCCAGUGUUAGAACCUUCUCUGUCUUAUGACAGAGUGUAUCUUGAAGACGCUUUAAUUCUAGUUUUAGGAGAUUAUCUUCAAUCAUCAUCUCCUAUCAAAUGCCAGAAAGGUUUCAAAAUAAGAAAGUAUCAUUUUCAGCACAAGGAUAUUCAGUAAGCUUCGUGGCACAACAGUGUAUUGGCAGAGAUAGAAGAAGAAGUAUCAGGGAACUAAAGCGUAAAAUGGUGAGAUUUCAUCCACAUUGUUCCUGUAAGUAUCUCUUCACAGUAAAUUAAUAGAUGCCACAAAAAGUCAUGUGUAGCUAAUGUUGAUGGAAAGCAUCUUUCUGACUAAUACAUUACAAAUACUGUUCAAGAAUAGCGCAUCCAAGUUAAAAUACUACCCUGAAGCUCCAGAGCUGCCAAGCUCAGUGUCAUCUUAGGUUAUCCGCCACAGACGCGAGCAGAGAAACCCUGCUAAUGGUUUAGCCACCCUGGUAAUAGUCUUAAGUAGAAGCAAGUAGGUUUUUCAUUUUAAUGGAGUGCUUUAUUAUUCCAACUUAAGUGUUUGUUCUAGAAAGAGCUUGCAAAUUCAAAUGAAUCCUCAUUUGUAGAAACCAUAAAAACAUUUUACCUUGACAGUUUUCUCUUCUUCCCUUAGCAUUUCUUCCAUCCUCAAAGCAUUGUCUUCUGAACUGAGUGUCUUCUCAGUUACAAGCUUCAACUUAUUGGAAAGACCUGCAUUCCUUUCUUUAAGAAAGCUUAGUCUAAACAAAAAUAGAUGAUUUAACAAGUUGCAAGCAUGUUGCACUUAGAACACUGCUAAAAUCAAGUAUCAUCACGUAUCUUACUGAGCAGCUGCCUAAUAACACAGGCUGAACUGGAACCUGUGAUAACCAAGGCUGCAGCUGGAUGUUUCACUCCCUUUAAAAACAGUGAUUACCAGGAAUAUUUUCUAUCUAAGAAAUUACUGUACACAGGAGUAAAAUAGACAUGAAGUAACCAGAGGGUUGGAGGCUUUAAUAAUUAACAUUAUUUAAGGUUCUUUGCUAGAAGAAGGAUCUGAUUAUAUCUGUAAUUCUUACGAACUGUAUUUUUAAAAGUCUGUUUCUUACCUGGCUUUUUUUUUCUCAAUUUCUUUCUUCAUAUUAGUUACCUGCAUUCUUAAAGACUCAAGGUGAGCAGCAGUUUUGUUCACAGUGGAUUUCAAAAUGUCCAGCUAAUAAAUUAAUUAGGAAAUCAGUACGUGAACCACCUGCUAUGGAAAAGCUAUCCAAAGUUAAUUCAACUGUAUUUUAUUAAAUUUUUAAAUUAUUAAACUUUUAAAUUGCCAAGCUUGUUGAGUAGCCCAGUAAUACCAUUUUCUUAAGAGAAAACUUCCUCAGAUAAUCUAAGUGUAUCCUUUCUGCAUAGAUUCAUGAGACUUGGACUACCUCCUGGAACAACUACUACAGAUAUUUAAGUAAUGAAGCAAUGCGGCUCAUUUCUAGCACUAAAUGCAGAUGAAAUAUAAGUAUAAACAGCAUCAAGCAUUUCCGAUUCAGAGGGCAGAUUUAUUCUGUUGCCUUUGAUUAGAAAGCUGUGAGAAAAUGUUUUUCAAGAAUUUUAAUCUGACUGCAAGGGCAAUCAACGCCCAUUUCUGGCAGUAUAGGACAGGAAUUGUUUGGAAGAAAUUUCUCUCAUCUUUAUACAUUACUGGAGUCUAAGUACAGUAAUGGCAAGACACAUCUGAAGCAUCUAAUAGUGUUAGAUCAUUUAAAAGAAAAUGAAUUCAUUUAAUUCCAAUGCCACAGAGAAUACAAGCUCAUCUCAAUGGCCGUAUGCUUGCUUUUCUUCAGUGCUGUCAUCGAAGGGAUUAAGUUCAGGUUUAAGAUCCAAAUAACCUAGAGUAAACUGGGAAGAACAGAUGUUUUGUUGAACUAUUGAAGAGCCUAAUAUGUGAACAGGAAAGUAAAUGCUAUUCAUGUAUUUCCUCCAUCUAAUCAAAAUAAAGAAAUUAUAGCUUCAGUCUGGUUUCCUGAACUGACGGGGCAUCCUCACCUCAUUCUCCAGCUGAACUCUGUAAGUAUCCUGAGUUUGAUACUCUUUCCGGAGACUGGUCGCUUCCCGCUCAGCAGAAGAAAUUCUUUUUUCAUAUUCCAUAUUAUUAAUAGUUUCAUUCACUAAAAAGGAAGCCUUCUCUUUCAGCACACUUUCUUUCUUUCGCAUCUCCUGUUUUAACUCUGCUAGUAGCUAAUGGGAGAAAAACACUUCAGGUUUUCUUGCAUUAUGUAAGAUGUGUUAGAUUAGAGCAAAACCAUAAGACAGAUUACUUUUAAGACUUCUCAUACGUUUGUUCACAGAUGUAGAAAUGCUAACUCCCUCCAAUUCUAAAUGUUCAGUUUUCUUUCCCUUUCUUUAUAUCACAGCCCAGACAUAAUCCCCUCACUGCUGCUGACUGUCUUUGCGCUCUAAGAAAUAAUAACACUCCAUCUUGUUGCUUCUCAGAUUCUUAGGUGAUACAAAAGAGCAGUACUAAAACUGGCACGCUUUGCAUUUUCAGACUGGAAAUUAAACCUGAUACAGCAUCAAGCAGAGCACUAUUAUUUACACUGAGAGAGAAUGCAUUCAAAAUAAAUUCUGACUACAUUCCAGACAUAUAUGGACUUUGAAAACACCUUAAUAAAAUACAGAGGUCAACACAAAAAGAACACUAAGCAUCUAAAAAAACCAACUAGUCUCAUGAAUAAGUGCCAAAAUUUCUCUCGAUCUCACAGAUAGAAAAGUAGGCUGAUACAGUGAUAUGAAUCAGGCAAAGCAGUUUUACCAAAGCACAGUGGUCAAUCUGCUGAUCUCUUUUUUGCAUCUGUUGUAUUGCAUUCUCCCACUGCCUGAUGACUUCUUGCCUUUCCUGAUGAACUCUGCGAAAAUGUUCAGCUGUCUUGUCAAGCUCCAUCUGCUUAAAAGAAAGCAUCCCUAUGAUUUUUUGUUUUAAAAAAAAAUUGUACGUAAAAAGAUACUUCAAGAACCUCAUGUACAAACCUGAGCAGUUAUGGUUUCUGUAAGCUCAUUAUCAAGAGCUCUGCGUUUCUGAUUUGCUUGCAUGGUCAACUUUUCUACUUGAAGGAUUAGUGCCUGAAAUGAAAUGAUAUGAAAACAGACUGUAUUUAAAAGUAAAUAUAUUAAAAUAUCUUAAAUUUCUAAAGCUCUGGAGCAACUAAGGAUGGAGUUAUUGAGGCAUCCAUUUUACUGUAUUUUUGAGAACAAAGA
rnacentral:lncRNA from 1 species